rnacentral:rRNA from 1 species
UACAGAGGGGGCAAGCGUUGUUCGGAAUUGCUGGGCGUAAAGGGCGCGUAGGCGGCCUGCUAAGUCGAACGUGAAAUCCCCGGGCUCAACCCGGGAACUGCGUCCGAUACUGGCAGGCUUGAAUUCGGGAGAGGGAUGUGGAAUUCCAGGUGUAGCGGUGAAAUGCGUAGAUAUCUGGAGGAACACCGGUGGCGAAGGCGGCAUCCUGGACCGAGAUUGACGCUGAUGCGCGAAAGCCAGGGGAGCAAACGGG